AGCAAAAUCUUCACCCUUUCCAAGGAGCCUCUUCUAAAUCUUCACCCUUUCCAAGGGUCCCUCUUCUAAAAAAACGUGUCUGUCCACGCCAAGAGAAAAGAGGGAGGAACAGAGAAAUAAACUACAUCCACGACAUUGGAACGACGACUUUACGGAUUCCUGGUUCACUCCAUCGUAUUCAUAGCAUAUAAAUAAUAAUAUUAUAUUUACCUUGUCCUCUUCUCUCUCAAUCGCUUUCUAUAUCAGAUUUCCAACAUGUGUUUGCUCCUUAGAUCCAUCUAUUUAUUCGUUUUCAUCUUUGUUGCAAAAACUUUGGGUGUUUAGUUUGGAGGAUUGGUGAAGUCACUGGAUGCAGCGGUUCAUCGAUCUCUUCCUGAAUCGUUGUUUAACAUCAGAACCAUGAAUCGAUCGAUAAACCUCUGCAUCCAGCGCUCACUCACUCUCCUUAGUGCACAAUCAUAUUUUGGAACCCUUUAUUUUUCUGUUUUUUGUUUCUGGUGUUGUUUAUUUAUUGCAGUUUAAUCAAUGGGUUGAAUCUUUGGAGUAAUUGAUGUAAAUCUAGAUGCUUACUUAUGCUUUUGUUGUGAUGCUGAUAUUCCAAUUCUGUGGGGGCUAUUAUGCAGAUAAUACAGAUUCAAUGUUUAAUAGUAUUAAAAGCUAUUGCUGCAAUCUAAUGAAAAUUUCUGAAAUAUUUCUGUGCCUUUUUCUUUUGUGGCGAUUGAUCAGUUUCAAAAGUUCUACUGAGAACGAUUUGAAGAUUGAGAGCCCCAUCCUUUUUUCUAUUCCUUUCUUGCUUUUCAGUUGUUUUGUGUAUAUUAUUGUUUGACCAAUAACUUGUGACGGUAUCAUCAGUUAUUGAGAUAUCAUAUUUAUAUAAUUUCUUCUCUUUGUUUCUCUAUCAUAUUAACUUUUUAUCUGAUAUCACUCUUUCUUUUCUCUCAAUUUCUCUUUUGAUUAUAUGAAUUAUCCUAUAUAUUUAUUAUAGGAAGAUAAUUUCUUGGAAUAUUUUGGAACUAACUAGCGCAACUGUUAUUUUAUUUUAAUUUUUAUUACUUGCAAAAGGAACUCUUUUUUUAACAAGAAAAAAUAUCAUCCUCUCUUCUAAAUAAUUAUUAAUCUAAUGAAAUUAUAUAAGUAGUUCAAUAUCCAUCAAUUUGGUCUUUGGGUUGAGAUAUUUUACUAACAUUGAAGAAUUUUUCAAUACUUGAAGGAAUACGUAACAUGAUUUCUUAUACUUUAGACUUUAGAGAUUACGUGUAUAAUUUCAUUAAUUUAAGUAUUAUUUAAGACAGAAGAUGAUAUUUCGCGGACUAAAUUCAUGGUUUAUUCAAGAAAAAAUGCAUCAUUAUUAAUGUAUUUUGAAAGCUUUCUGAAAUUAAAAGUUAUCAUGCUUAUUUAUGUUUUUACUUUUUUCCUUUCAGUACUGUUUCCCUUUUCUACAAGUAAGAAGUUUAAACAGGGUCAUCAGUAAGAAAAUAUUUUCAGAAAAGCUAUGUGAAAGACCAGUUUACUACUUGCUUUCACCAAGGUUCACAAGGAUUAUGCUGUGUCUAGACUCGAUCCUUGCGAGGUUCAUAAAACAACCGUGAAGUUUAUUUUUUUUAGGUCUCCAAUUGCUAGGCAGCACAGUGCACAUCACCAAACGGUACUUUUAGGUCCUAGCUGCAUAAUGGUAUGUGAAAAGUGUGCCCAAUGGAGAGCAACUUGCAAGAGAAUCUUCUUGCUGAUGUUUGGAGAGUCAAAUGACAAAUGUGCCUAUUUGAUUUAAAAUUUAGUAGAAUCUAUUUGAUUUAAAGUUUAGUAGAAUUAAUUUAGCACUCAUUGGGGGUGUAAGUACCAAUUAUUCUUGGUGAUAUCUUUAUGGUGUGGAGAAAUGAUUCUAAAUAAGAAGUAAAUAGGGUCAUCAAAUUCUCGCUUUAUAAGUUGAAUAAAAUUGAAUUGAGGCAGGGAUGAGUUGAACACGUACCGGGAAACUUCAUUAGUCCAUUGAUGUUCUGAUAUUUAAUUUGUUGACUCUUGUUCUUACAUUCGAAGUUAUCUCAUGGAAUUGUUAUCUGUCCUAAUUCUA